UUAAAGGGCUGCAGUAUAUUGACUGUACAAAGGUAGCAUAAUCAUUAGUCAUUUAAUUGAUGACUUGUAUGAAGGAUUGGAUGAAAUAUAAACUGUCUCUUAAUUAUAUUUAGAAUUUAAUUUUUUAAUUAAAAAGUUAAAAUAAAUUAGAAAGACGAGAAGACCCUAUAGAGUUUUAUAGAUAAAAUUAAUUGAGAUUAUUUGUAAAGAUUAAAUUAAGAUUAAUUUAUUUAUUUUGUUGGGGUGACAGAAAAAUAUGAAAAACUUUUUAUAUGUUUUAAAACAUUAAUAAGUGGUUAAAUGAUCCAGUAUUAUUGAUUAUAAGAAAAAAUUACCUUAGGGAUAACAGCGUAAUUUUUUUUUUUAGUUCACAUAAAAAAAAAAGUUUGCGACCUCGAUGUUGGAUUAAGAUAAAAUUUAAAUGCAGAAG
rnacentral:rRNA from 1 species